rnacentral:tRNA from 1 species
UGGGGCCAUAGCUCAAUUGGUAGAGCACCUGUUUUGCAAUCAGGAUGUCGUCGGUUCAAUUCCGACUGGCUCCAU